GACGAACGCUGGCGGCGUGCUUAACACAUGCAAGUCGAACGGAAAGGCCCUGCUUUUGUGGGGUGCUCGAGUGGCGAACGGGUGAGUAACACGUGAGUAACCUGCCCUUGACUUUGGGAUAACUUCAGGAAACUGGGGCUAAUGCCGGAUAGGAGCUCCUGCUGCAUGGUGGGGGUUGGAAAGUUUCGGCGGUUGGGGAUGGACUCGCGGCUUAUCAGCUUGUUGGUGGGGUAGUGGCUUACCAAGGCUUUGACGGGUAGCCGGCCUGAGAGGGUGACCGGCCACAUUGGGACUGAGAGACGGCCCAGACGCCUACGGGAGGCAGCAGUGGGGAAUAUUGCACAAUGGGCGGAAGCCUGAUGCAGCAACGCCGCGUGCGGGAUGACGGCCUUCGGGUUGUAAACCGCUUUCGCAUGUGACGAAGCGUGAGUGACGGUAAUGGGUAAAGAAGCAACGGCUAACUACGUG
rnacentral:rRNA from 1 species